rnacentral:lncRNA from 1 species
UAACAGAAAGUCUCGUAUGGAUGCUCAUCGAGUUGAUAUAUCUUCUAUUUUAAUGUAAAACAAUGAUAUCAUAACACAUUUUUACAUUCAUUUGACACAAAGUAUAAAGAUAAAAAUGUUAUAAAAUUGUAAGCUUUUAUACUUUUCAAUGAAAAAGAGAGUAAAAAGUAAGAAAGGGUAGUGUCAAAUAAAUGUAAAAAAGUUAGAUGUGUUAAAGAAUCAUUUUUCUUUAGGUUUAAAUGCUUACUUAGUCUCCAUGUUACGAGAGAAUUUUCAGUUGAGUACCCGAUUUUAAAAAUGUAUACAUUGAGUCCCUAUGUUUUGCAAUUUGUAUCAAUUCCAUCCUAUUCGUUUAACGAUGUUAAAAUAGAUAACGUUAAACUGACUGUAAGUGUGAGGUGUGCAAAAAGUGAAGACGUGGCAUUUAAUAGACCAAUAGAAUAUACGUCCUUGUCACACUCUAAUUAUUAAAUCUUAAUUAUUUUCUCCUUAAUUAAUUUCCCCAAAUUCAAAUUCAGAUUAAAGAACCCUAAUUAAAUUCAUAUAUGGAAAUUCUCUCUCAAAGUCCACUCCUCUUUCCCAAUUUUUGGUCUUUCUCUUUUGGCAUACCAGCUUUGGGUUGCCUUUGUGGAGCUUGUGCAAUAGGGAAGCUUUCUUCCCUUUUGUUUUAUCGUGUGGCAAGGACUUCUUUCCUUUUCUCCUUCGUGGUUCUGGUUGGGGGUUUUGCAAGUAAGGAGCCAACACCUUUCUCGCGGUGCGAUGAUUGUUGUAGCAGCGGUGCCUCUGCAAGGUUUCGACCUCAAAAAUCUCUGUGGUGUGAGAAACCCUAUUGAUGCAUCAUCGUGAAGGAAAAUAGCGGACCUAGGGUUUCACGGUCUGGCAAGGACUUCUUUCCUCUUCUUCGUAGUUCUGGUUGGGGGUUUUGCAGGUAAGGAGCCAACACCUUUCUCACAUUGCGGUGAUUGUUGUAGCAGCGGUGCCUUCGCGAGGUUUUGACCUCAUAAAUCUACCCUGUCCAAGAAACACAGUUAAUGGCAUCAUCGUGGAGAGAAAUAGCGGACCCAAGGUUUCGUGAUCUGGUGAUCUUCAUUCAUCAGCGUCCCCGUGGCCACUAGGGUGGUGCAUCGCACUAGGUAAUGAUUUAUGCUUCUGCUUUGCAAGUGGAUGGCAACGUUUUGGUGGUUCGCAGAGGUUGAGUGUUUUGGCUUUUGUUCUUCUCUAUGGGUUUGCGAAUUCGAGGUGGUCUUAACUUCGCGUUUGGGAUCUCGUGGAGGUCGCUGAUCGUCUCCACUGGCAGUUCGUCGAUGAUGAUGUCGAAGUCCGUGACCGGUAGCGCCAUCAGAAUCUGAUCCUCUAUUUUGUCUAAUUUUCUUUUUAUUGGGGAUAUUCAUCAAGAUUUAGAAAAGAUUAGCAUGAAAUUAUGUAGAAUUAAAAUUUUAUAUAUUAGUGUUAAUAAAUAUUAUAUUUUUUAUUUUGAUGGCAAAAGGAAGGUUAUGUGAUUUUAGUUUUUAUUUUAAUUUAUUAAAUGUGAUUUAAAUGCCAUAAUAAUGCAAAAGAGGAAUAAAAAUCCUACAAUUAUGAAAUUAUUAAUAUAGAAGAGAGGGAGAGAAAGUUAGGCCCUGACACAUUCAUCUCGAAGUAGCUGAGGUGGGGUGCCCUAAUAUUUUCUAAAAAAAAUGUUUUUGCCACGUUUGAUAACAU